rnacentral:rRNA from 2 species
CAUGAUUUACAUUUGAGUGAGUGGCGAACUGGUGAGUAACACGUGGGAAACCUGCCCAGAAGCGGGGGAUAACACCUGGAAACAGAUGCUAAUACCGCAUAACAACUUGGACCGCAUGGUCCGAGUUUGAAAGAUGGCUUCGGCUAUCACUUUUGGAUGGUCCCGCGGCGUAUUAGCUAGAUGGUGAGGUAACGGCUCACCAUGGCAAUGAUACGUAGCCGACCUGAGAGGGUAAUCGGCCACAUUGGGACUGAGACACGGCCCAAACUCCUACGGGAGGCAGCAGUAGGGAAUCUUCCACAAUGGACGAAAGUCUGAUGGAGCAACGCCGCGUGAGUGAAGAAGGGUUUCGGCUCGUAAAACUCUGUUGUUAAAGAAGAACAUAUCUGAGAGUAACUGUUCAGGUAUUGACGGUAUUUAACCAGAAAGCCACGGCUAACUACGUGCCAGCAGCCGCGGUAAUACGUAGGUGGCAAGCGUUGUCCGGAUUUAUUGGGCGUAAAGCGAGCGCAGGCGGUUUUUUAAGUCUGAUGUGAAAGCCUUCGGCUCAACCGAAGAAGUGCAUCGGAAACUGGGAAACUUGAGUGCAGAAGAGGACAGUGGAACUCCAUGUGUAGCGGUGAAAUGCGUAGAUAUAUGGAAGAACACCAGUGGCGAAGGCGGCUGUCUGGUCUGUAACUGACGCUGAGGCUCGAAAGUAUGGGUAGCAAACAGGAUUAGAUACCCUGGUAGUCCAUACCGUAAACGAUGAAUGCUAAGUGUUGGAGGGUUUCCGCCCUUCAGUGCUGCAGCUAACGCAUUAAGCAUUCCGCCUGGGGAGUACGGCCGCAAGGCUGAAACUCAAAGGAAUUGACGGGGGCCCGCACAAGCGGUGGAGCAUGUGGUUUAAUUCGAAGCUACGCGAAGAACCUUACCAGGUCUUGACAUACUAUGCAAAUCUAAGAGAUUAGACGUUCCCUUCGGGGACAUGGAUACAGGUGGUGCAUGGUUGUCGUCAGCUCGUGUCGUGAGAUGUUGGGUUAAGUCCCGCAACGAGCGCAACCCUUAUUAUCAGUUGCCAGCAUUAAGUUGGGCACUCUGGUGAGACUGCCGGUGACAAACCGGAGGAAGGUGGGGAUGACGUCAAAUCAUCAUGCCCCUUAUGACCUGGGCUACACACGUGCUACAAUGGAUGGUACAACGAGUUGCGAACUCGCGAGAGUAAGCUAAUCUCUUAAAGCCAUUCUCAGUUCGGAUUGUAGGCUGCAACUCGCCUACAUGAAGUCGGAAUCGCUAGUAAUCGCGGAUCAGCAUGCCGCGGUGAAUACGUUCCCGGGCCUUGUACACACCGCCCGUCACACCAUGAGAGUUUGUAACACCCAAAGUCGGUGG